rnacentral:miRNA from 1 species
UAUUGCAAUAAGUGUGUGUAUGUAUGUGUGUGUGUGUGUGUGUGUGUAUAUAUUUAUAUAUAUACACACACACACACACACACACACACACACACACACACAGUAUCUU